rnacentral:rRNA from 1 species
GAUGAACGCUGGCGGCGUGCCUAAUACAUGCAAGUCGAGCGAACAGACGAGGAGCUUGCUCCUCUGACGUUAGCGGCGGACGGGUGAGUAACACGUGGAUAACCUACCUAUAAGACUGGGAUAACUUCGGGAAACCGGAGCUAAUACCGGAUAAUAUAUUGAACCGCAUGGUUCAAUAGUGAAAGACGGUUUUGCUGUCACUUAUAGAUGGAUCCGCGCCGCAUUAGCUAGUUGGUAAGGUAACGGCUUACCAAGGCAACGAUGCGUAGCCGACCUGAGAGGGUGAUCGGCCACACUGGAACUGAGACACGGUCCAGACUCCUACGGGAGGCAGCAGUAGGGAAUCUUCCGCAAUGGGCGAAAGCCUGACGGAGCAACGCCGCGUGAGUGAUGAAGGUCUUCGGAUCGUAAAACCCUGUUAUUAGGGAAGAACAAAUGUGUAAGUAACUAUGCACGUCUUGACGGUACCUAAUCAGAAAGCUACGGCUAACUACGUG